rnacentral:tRNA from 1 species
GGCACUUUGGCGGAGUGGUUAACGCGAUGCCCUGCUAUUUUACAAAAGAAGCGUCAUAUUUCCUUCGGGAGGUGACAGUUAUCUAAGGAAUAGUGUUAGGCAUUUCCUUCGGGAGCGAGUGUUCGAAUCACUCAGGUGUCG